UACGUAGGCAGCGAGCGUUGUUCGGAAUUACUGGGCGUAAAGAGCGUGUAGGCGGCCACUUAAGUCCUGCGUGAAAUCUUGCGGCUCAACCGCAAGCGGUCGUGGGAAACUGGGUGGCUAGAGUGCGGGAGAGGAGAGUGGAAUUCCUGGUGUAGCGGUGGAAUGCGCAGAUAUCAGGAGGAACACCGGUGGCGAAGGCGGUUCUCUGGGCAUGUCCUGACGCUGAGGAGCGAAAGUGUGGGGAGCGAACAGG
rnacentral:rRNA from 1 species